rnacentral:lncRNA from 1 species
ACAACGCUGCUCUCCAGCGCGUCUCAUCCGCUGAAGGUCGUGCGACUUCGGGGACAAGAAAGUACAUAUAAGAGCGCGAUUGCCGAGCGAUCAUAACAUUCCUCGACUGAACGCGAAGCUUAGUGUGUCGGGAGACGUCGCGUGCUAUUUAUUUUUUCGAGUCAAUCGGAAUCAACGUGCUUGAAAUACGUUGCGUUAUUUUCUACGCGGUAGCAUCUUCUCGAACGGCAACUGUAUUCGGCGAUCGUAAAAGUGACUGUCGUUUUGCACUCUUGUUGAGUUUGGUUUAUUGUGUUUAUUAGAUGUGUUAAAGCUUACGGCCAUACACGAUGGGUGCCGUCCGCUAGGAUAUAGUUUCGAUAGACGCGAAUGUCGUACUGGAGGAGCCAGUUCAGGCCGAGCAGAAUCGAUUCGAAGAGCUUGCGACCACACACAAUGGGUGCGGUUCCCGGGGGAGGGUGCAGUUUCGGCGGACGCGAAUGCCGUACCGGAGGAGCCGGUUCGGGCCGAGCACAGUCGGCUCGAAGAUUUGUAGCGGAACGCGGCCGGCUGUGAGUUCCUGGUAUUUCGAUUUGUCGGAGCUUGCGGUCGCAUCAGGAAGGCAGACAAAGUUCCAGUGGAAGUGAAUGCCGCACCGGAGGAUUUGGUUCAGGUCGAGCAGAGUUGACUCGAAAGUAGCUUCAUAAACUCAUAUAUUUCACUUCGUAACCCUUUGCUGUCGAAAGCCGAGACGUAACAGAAUGAUCCGAGUUACAACCGCAGAGAAUCGAUCUCGUAGCGGAAUGUGGUUGACUCCCAGUUCAAACUCUAAGUGGAUAAUUAAGAAAAAGUGUGCUGGUUUAGGAUUCAACGUGUAGAACCAUGCACGAGAAAACUGUUUUUUCGAUAUAAUGUUCUAAUUAUUCCGAGCAGAGUCCAAUGACACGUUCGGAAUUGCGUCGCCGCGCACGCAACUUCACAAUUAUUUCCCUCGCGUUGAUAGGUUUCCCUCGCGAUCGUAGCGACCAUUGGUACUUUCUAAAUGUCCGUUUCCGGUCUGUGACUUUUUUAUACGCGACUCGCGAGUGGCGAUUACGUUCCUGGAGCGUUGGAUUAUUCAUCACGUGUUUCAGAACUGCAGUGCGAAUUUAUCGAAUUUAACGAUAGAGAUUCAUUAAACUAACCCGUGCAUUCUGCUUUCGUCUCUCGUUAAUUGAACUCGUUCUCCGAGUUAAACAAAGUUUUCAUUAAUACGGCCGUUAAUUAAUUAAACGCCGCCGAAACGUGGCUACUAAUCGUGACGAUGUGAAGGGAGAUGAAGUGCAAUCAACGUAGGACGACACAGGAUGAAGGUUGGCCGCUGCGAACUUUUGGACACGAAACGUCGCAGUUCGUUUGGGAUGCAGAAGCGAGUUUUGUCCGUGAAUCAGCUUGGACCUGAGUGAACUUCUGGACGUCAAUGGACGGCGAUGGAUUUCAGCGCGAAACGGGGAACAGCAUUAUGGAGCAGAAUUGUUCGAUACACAUUGUCCUGGACAAUUUAACAGCGAGGAAAAACAAUCCUUAUCGAUUCCAACCUCCUCCGGCGCGGCAUCGGCUGCCGAUGCCUGGCAAUUCGCGGACUCGACUCUGGUAAAUCGAGCCCAGAAGAGCAAAGCGGAGCAAAGCGGAGCAAACGGGCGGAGGGCUUAGUGAUCGGCGAUGAUAAAAUUGCAAUGAUUCAGG